rnacentral:rRNA from 2 species
AACGUAGGAGCCUAGCGUUAUCCGAAUUCACUGGGCGUAAAGCGCGUGCAGGCGGCUUGGUAAGUUGGAUGUGAAAUCUCUCGGCUCAACUGGGAGAGGACGUUCAAUACUGCCAGGCUAGAGGGCGGAAGAGGGAGGUGGAAUUCCCGGUGUAGUGGUGAAAUGCGUAGAUAUCGGGAGGAACACCAGUGGCGAAGGCGGCCUCCUAGGCCGCUCCUGACGCUCAGACGCGAAAGCUAGGGGAGCGAACGGG